rnacentral:rRNA from 1 species
UACGGAGGGGGCUAGCGUUGUUCGGAAUUACUGGGCGUAAAGCGCGCGUAGGCGGACCUGCAAGUCGGGGGUGAAAGCCCGAGGCUCAACCUCGGAACUGCCGAGCUGGAGUGCCGGAGGGGAGAGUGGAAUUCCUGGUGUAGCGGUGAAAUGCGUAGAUAUCAGGAGGAAUACCGGUGGCGAAAGCGACUCUCUGGACGGCAACUGACGCUGAGGCACGAAAGCGUGGGGAGCAAACAGG